rnacentral:pre_miRNA from 1 species
UGGACAGAUUAUUGUAUUCGACUGUAUUCACGACGUGAAAUGGGGGAUUACACUGUUUUAAAACGGAAAGUGAAUUAAUUAACAUAAUAGACUCCU